rnacentral:rRNA from 1 species
GAUGAACGCUGGCGGCGUGCCUAAUACAUGCAAGUCGAGCGAACGGACGAGAAGCUUGCUUUUCUGAUGUUAGCGGCGGACGGGUGAGUAACACGUGGAUAACCUACCUAUAAGACUGGGAUAACUUCGGGAAACCGGAGCUAAUACCGGAUAAUAUUUUGAACCGCAUGGUUCAAAAGUGAAAGACGGUCUUGCUGUCACUUAUAGAUGGAUCCGCGCUGCAUUAGCUGGUUGGUAAGGUAACGGCUUACCAAGGCAACGAUGCAUAGCCGACCCGAGAGGGUGAUCGGCCACACUGGAACUGAGACACGGUCCAGACUCCUACGGGAGGCAGCAGUAGGGAAUCUUCCGCAAUGGGCGAAAGCCUGACGGAGCAACGCCGCGUGAGUGAUGAAGGUCUUCGGAUCGUAAAACUCUGUUAUUAGGGAAGAACAUAUGUGUAAGUAACUGUGCACAUCUUGACGGUACCUAAUCAGAAAGCCACGGCUAACUACGUG